CACGAAACUUGCCCCGAGAUGAGUUCUCCCUGAGACUUAAAGUCUCCUGAAGGAACGUUGAAGACGACGACGUUGAUAGGCCGGGUGUGUAAGCGCAGCGAUGCGUUGAGCUAACCGGUACUAAUGAACCGUGAGGCUUAACCUUACAACGCCGAAG
rnacentral:rRNA from 1 species